CUGUACGGUCCAUAUUUAGGGGCACUUCAAAGUGCCCCAAUAGGUAGCCAAAGUGCCCCUACUUACUUUUAGGGGCACUAUGAAAAGUGCCCCGGAUGCCUGUGUCCCUAAAUGUAUUUGGGGCACUUUGAAUGAAAUGCCCCAAAUACAUUUAGGGGCAGUUUCGAAAGUGCCUCUAAAUGUUUUUAGGGGCAGUUUCGAAAGUGCCUCUAAAUGUUUUUAGGGGCAGUUUCGAAAGUGCCUCUAAAUGUUUUUAGGGGCAGUUUCGAAAGUGCCUCUAAAUGUUUUUAGGGGCAGUUUCGAAAGUGCCUCUAAAUGUUUUUAGGGGCAGUUUGAAAAGUGCCUCUAAAUGUUUUUAGGGGCAGUUUCCAAAGUGCCUCUAAAUGUUUUUAGAGGCAGUUUCCAAAGUGCCUCUAAAGGUUUUCAGAGGCAGUUUGAAAAGUGCCUCUAAAUGUUUUUAGAGGCAGUUUGAAAAGUGCCUCUAAAGGUUUUCAGGGGCACUUAGUGUUUUGCCUCUAAAGUUUGUCAGAGGCAGUUUGAAAAGUGCCUCUAAAUGUUUUUAGAGGCAGUUUGAAAAGUGCCUCUAAAUGUCUUUACAAGCUAGUAAACAAAAUGCCCCUAAAACUACAAGCA